GAAGAGGAGGAAGCAGGGGGAGGGAGAGGAGGAGAGGGCCAGGGAGGAGGGGAGGGAGGAGGGAGAGAGAGAGGAAAGGAGAGAGGGAGGGAAAGAGACAGAAGGAGACCGAGAAGGGAGACGCACUGUGACUAGCAGAGUGGUGUUCUAGCUGUCCAGUGAAAGUUGCACAGUGGAGGUAAUAAUUCUUCAGAUUCUGCCGUUGCCACAACAUGGAAAUCUGAAGGCAGGGAGCUGUGCCCGCCCUCCACCCACAGCUUCCAGCAAUUACUCAGAUGGCUGGUUUCCAGCGGCGAUCCUGGGCUUCUGUAAGGAGACAUCUACUACAGAUAAUUAGGAUUCAUAACUAAUAAUAAGAAGUUUCCAAAUGUCGAGAAUUCUUUUAUAAGAAUCUAUGUAUGUGGAAGGUGAGGAGAGAACUAGGUGGGAAAAGAGAAGAAUUUUUCUACUUUUCUUAAAAGACAGACAGAAAGAAAGAAAGAAAAAGAAAAAGA